CUUAACCAUCCCAACCCUGAGCAAAGAUGGAUCUGCACAUCACCAUUGUACAUCUGCUCAUUUUCAUCACUGGAGGACUCUCACGCAGAUGUUAUGUGUGUGCGCCUGAAGAUAAAUCAGGUGCCUGUGAAGAGAAACAGGUGACAUGUCCUCAUGGAUUUGACAAAUGUUUCAGUUCAACAGGGACAGGUUUUUAUAACGCUAUGGAUGUCAAAAUAAAAAGCUGUGAAGAAGAUUGUGAAACGAAGACCAUAGUACUACGUGGAGGGGUUGUUUCUUCUACAUGCUGUGACACUGACCUCUGUAACCGCACAGGUAUUUACCUUGACUUGUC